AUACUUACCUGCAGGUGCAGUUCGGUGGAUCACGUAGCACUGACUGUCUCUCUGAGAGUUGCUUCAUUGCACGCGGAAGUUCAGCUUGACGGGAGUGCCGGGGCCUCGUGUCCCGCGCGACCUGGUCAUUUUUGGUUUGUGGACUGCGUUCGCGCAGUCCACG
rfam:Monosiga brevicollis MX1 MONBRscaffold_34 genomic scaffold, whole genome shotgun sequence.